GUUAUUUUACGAUAAAAUUAAAGGAGAAGAGAAAGAAGUUGAGAUUCUCCUUAACAAAUCGGAGAGUUCGUUUCGAAAAGAAUACUUUGAAACAACGAGCGAUUCAACUUCGACAACUUCGUGUUUCCGUAAAAGCGUAUCGUGUACUUUUCGAAACGUUUAAAGAUCGAUAAUCAAAUUUCAGCAAGAAUGUACGAGAGCUCGAGGAAAUGUCCGAUUAUAAGUCGAUGAUUUGUGCAUGCCAGCACGCAGGCCAAAACAAUUAUAUAAUAAUUGUAUCUUAUCUAUUUGUCAGAAGAAAAAUUUACUGGAAGAGAACUUGUGUAAAAAACAUACAAACUCGUUCUCUCGCUAACAUAUGUGUAUAUAUAUAUAUAUGUAAUAAAUAUUUUAUCGCCGUGUUGCAAAGUGAAUCAUUAUUUACAUAGCAAGAUUAUAAUCGGCAUUGUAUAAUUAGCGAAAAUCGUUUAACGAUGCAUGUAAAUUGACAUGUAAAUGAAAAUAAAUUACGAACUUACUUUGUUACUCUGGA